rnacentral:rRNA from 1 species
AAAUUGAAGAGUUUGAUCAUGGCUCAGAUUGAACGCUGGCGGCAGGCCUAACACAUGCAAGUCGAACGGUAACAGGAAGCAGCUUGCUGCUUCGCUGACGAGUGGCGGACGGGUGAGUAAUGUCUGGGAAACUGCCUGAUGGAGGGGGAUAACUACUGGAAACGGUGGCUAAUACCGCAUAACGUCGCAAGACCAAAGAGGGGGACCUUCGGGCCUCUUGCCAUCAGAUGUGCCCAGAUGGGAUUAGCUUGUUGGUGAGGUAACGGCUCACCAAGGCGACGAUCCCUAGCUGGUCUGAGAGGAUGACCAGCCACACUGGAACUGAGACACGGUCCAGACUCCUACGGGAGGCAGCAGUGGGGAAUAUUGCACAAUGGGCGCAAGCCUGAUGCAGCCAUGCCGCGUGUAUGAAGAAGGCCUUCGGGUUGUAAAGUACUUUCAGCGGGGAGGAAGGUGUUGUGGUUAAUAACCACAGCAAUUGACGUUACCCGCAGAAGAAGCACCGGCUAACUCCGUGCCAGCAGCCGCGGUAAUACGGAGGGUGCAAGCGUUAAUCGGAAUUACUGGGCGUAAAGCGCACGCAGGCGGUCUGUCAAGUCGGAUGUGAAAUCCCCGGGCUCAACCUGGGAACUGCAUUCGAAACUGGCAGGCUUGAGUCUUGUAGAGGGGGGUAGAAUUCCAGGUGUAGCGGUGAAAUGCGUAGAGAUCUGGAGGAAUACCGGUGGCGAAGGCGGCCCCCUGGACAAAGACUGACGCUCAGGUGCGAAAGCGUGGGGAGCAAACAGGAUUAGAUACCCUGGUAGUCCACGCCGUAAACGAUGUCUACUUGGAGGUUGUGCCCUUGAGGCGUGGCUUCCGGAGCUAACGCGUUAAGUAGACCGCCUGGGGAGUACGGCCGCAAGGUUAAAACUCAAAUGAAUUGACGGGGGCCCGCACAAGCGGUGGAGCAUGUGGUUUAAUUCGAUGCAACGCGAAGAACCUUACCUGGUCUUGACAUCCACAGAACUUUCCAGAGAUGGAUUGGUGCCUUCGGGAACUGUGAGA